CCUACGGGUGGCAGCAGUGAGGAAUAUUGGUCAAUGGACGCAAGCCUGAACCAGCCAUGCCGCGUGCGGGAAGACGGCACAAUGAAUUGUAAACUUCUUUUGUAAGAGGAUAAAUGCGGGGACUAGUAUCCGUAUGAAAGUAUCUUACGAAUAAGGAUCGGCUAACUCCGUGCCAGCAGCCGCGGUAAUACGGAGGAUUCAAGCGUUAUCCGGAUUUAUUGGGUUUAAAGGGUGCGUAGGCGGUCGGAUAAGUUAGAGGUGAAAGCCCGGGGCUCAACGCCGGCACUGCCUCUGAUACUGGCGGGCUAGAGUGUAGUUGCGGUAGGCGGAAUGUAUGGUGUAGCGGUGAAAUGCUUAGAGAUCAUACAGAACACCGAUUGCGAAGGCAGCUUACCAACCUACUACUGACGUUGAGGCACGAAAGCGUGGGGAGCAAACAGGAUUAGAUACCCGUGUAGUC
rnacentral:rRNA from 1 species